ACCCUGAUAGUAUAUCGGUUAGUACACGCAGCUAUCAUUUCCAUAGCUUGUACUUAUUUAGUUUAAGUGAGCGCGAAAGCUGGGUUCAACUCCCAGCCAGGGUG